rnacentral:rRNA from 1 species
AUUGAACGCUGGCGGCAGGCCUAACACAUGCAAGUCGAGCGGUAGAGAGAAGCUUGCUUCUCUUGAGAGCGGCGGACGGGUGAGUAAUGCCUAGGAAUCUGCCUGGUAGUGGGGGAUAAUGUUCGGAAACGGACGCUAAUACCGCAUACGUCCUACGGGAGAAAGCAGGGGACCUUCGGGCCUUGCGCUAUCAGAUGAGCCUAGGUCGGAUUAGCUAGUUGGUGGGGUAAUGGCUCACCAAGGCGAAGAUCCGUAACUGGUCUGAGAGGAUGAACAAUCAACCUGAAACUGAGACACGGGACAGGCUCCGACGGAAGGCAGCAGUGGGGAAUAUUGGACAAUGGGCGAAAGCCUGAUCCAGCCAUGCCGCGUGUGUGAAGAAGGUCUUCGGAUUGUAAAGCACUUUAAGUUGGGAGGAAGGGCAGUAAAUUAAUACUUUGCUGUUUUGACGUUACCGACAGAAUAAGCACCGGCUAACUCUGUGCCAGCCGCCGCCGUAA